rnacentral:rRNA from 1 species
GUGUCAGCCGCCGCGGUAAUACGGAGGGGGCUAGCGUUAUUCGGAAUUACUGGGCGUAAAGCGUACGUAGGCGGUGGUUCAAGUCAGAGGUGAAAGCCCGGAGCUCAACUCCGGAACUGCCUUUGAAACUAGAUCGCUAGAACAUCGGAGAGGUAAGUGGAAUUCCGAGUGUAGAGGUGAAAUUCGUAGAUAUUCGGAAGAACACCAGUGGCGAAGGCGGCUUACUGGACGAUUGUUGACGCUGAGGUACGAAAGCGUGGGGAGCAAACAGGAUUAGAAACCCCCGUAGUCC